CAAGAGAAUGCUUUGGUCCAAGGUCCUAAGAUUUAGUGUUCAGGACUAGAAGAUGAACCCUAUUAAUUAUUAGGACAACAGGUCAAAUCAGGGUGACAGUGACCUUGACCACUAAAAUUUUGUAUGCCUAAUAACUAGGGAACGCUUUGGCCGACGGUCCUAAGAUUUAAUAUGAAUGUUCAUGACUACUAAGUGGCCCCUAUUGUUAUGUCAGAAGGUUAAAGGUCAAGAUUAUAGUGGCAUUGAACACUAAAAGCUUGUCUGAUGCCAGUUACUUGAUAAUGCUUUGGCCAAAAGUCCUAAGACUUUAUGAAAGAUAAUAUGGAUCAUCUUGACUAGCAAAUAGUAGCAAGGUUACCGUGACCUUGACCACUGAAAGCUUAUGAACUUUUCAUCCAAAUUAAUGAUAAAGUGCGUUCAGUGCAAACAUGAUUUUUAAUACACAUUGCAACCUUUUACAAAGAAUGAAAUAUUUGAGAACGAUAUACUUGUGAAUGACUAUUAUUUGUGCUUAAAUGGUAAUUUUAAGUGACAAAGUAUUAGCCAUUUAAGCUUGUGUCUGUUCAAGAUAUUAUGAUUGCUUGAUCAUUAUCAUUGUACAAAUUUAGUCAACAGGGUAGGUACUAAUAGAAGGUCUCCCACAAUAGAAGGUCUUCUACGGUCUCCAAAGACCAUCGCAGACCGUGUAGGAGCCCGACGAUUAGUAGGUUAUUACUAAUGGACAAGCAAAUGCACUCUUGUUGUAAUCUUUAACUUUGUGUACUUAAUGGUUAUAUAUACUAGAUGCAUUUAUUUCUCAUCUUUUUCAAUCUAUAUGUUGCCAAGACUAAGGAUAUAACUAUUAAGAAAAUAAAUAAACGAUCUUUUGCUAUA